rnacentral:rRNA from 1 species
ACGGGAGGCAGCAGUGGGGAAUAUUGCGCAAUGGGCGAAAGCCUGACGCAGCGACGCCGCGUGAGGGAUGAAGGUCUUCGGAUCGUAAACCUCUGUCAGAGGGGAAGAAUGCCGCGCGUGCCAAUCAGCGCGCGGGUGACGGUACCCUCAAAGGAAGCACCGGCUAACUCCGUGCCAGCAGCCGCGGUAAUACGGAGGGUGCAAGCGUUAAUCGGAAUCACUGGGCGUAAAGCGCACGUAGGCGGCGCGACAAGUCAGGGGUGAAAUCCCGCGGCUCAACCGCGGAACUGCCCUUGAAACUGUCGUGCUGGAGUAUCGGAGAGGGUGGCGGAAUUCCGGGUGUAGGAGUGAAAUCCGUAGAUAUCCGGAAGAACACCGGUGGCGAAGGCGGCCACCUGGACGACAACUGACGCUGAGGUGCGAAAGCGUGGGUAGCAAACAGGAUUAGAUACCCUGGUA